rnacentral:rRNA from 1 species
GACGAAUGCUGGCGGCGUGCUUAACACAUGCAAGUCGAACGGAAAGGCCCUGCUUUUGUGGGGUGCUCGAGUGGCGAACGGGUGAGUAACACGUGAGUAACCUGCCCCUGACUUUGGGAUAACUUCAGGAAACUGGGGCUAAUACCGGAUAGGAGCUCCUGCUGCAUGGUGGGGGUUGGAAAGUUUCGGCGGUUGGGGCUGGACUCGCGGCUUAUCAGCUUGUUUGUGAGGUAGUCGCUUACCAAGGCUGUGACGGAUAGCCGGCCUGAGAGGGUGACCAGGCACAAGAGGCCUACGAUACGGACCAGAAGGGUACGGUAGGCAGUAGUGGGGAAUAUUGCGCAGUGAGCCGGAGCCAGAGACGACAGCGCCGCGUGCGGAAUAACGGCCUUCGGGUUAUAAACCGCUUUCGCCUGUAACGAAGCGUGAGUGACGGUAAUGAGUAAGAAAGCACCGGCUAACUACGUG